rnacentral:lncRNA from 1 species
UCCUUAUCCAUUUUGUGCGCCACAUUACUUACACGAGAAAAGGUUUCUUAUGAAAUAUUUUUCACGCAUAAAGAGCCACGCCCCUUCUCUUCUCACACCCAAAAGGAUAGGGAUAAGUUGGUUUUCAUUUGAAUUCAAAUUUGAUUUGAAUUCAAAUGUGUAACCUCUUGUCUUUAUCCUCUCACGCGGAUAGGACACGUUCGAUGUUGUUUUAAAAAGAAGAGAAAUGUGGGAUGUGCGUAGAAAUUUUAAGAGAGAAACUUUGGGAUGUGAGGAAGGUCUUUUGCACAAGGUGAAGGUCCAAAACCUUUCGAGAGAAAAAGAAAGAAAAGAGAGAAAAUUGGGCGCAGGGUUUUUGGUGUGUACCCUAGGGUUUCUACCUAGGGUUCGGGAAGUGAGAUUGGUGUGCCACGAGUGUCGUGAGUCCACCAAAUUUUAGGGAGAGAUCCAUCAGCCUCUCAAGCAACUGUGCAAAUGAUCCAGAGCAUCUGAGAAGUCGGCACACAUCG